AGGACGAACGCUGGCGGCGUGCCUAAUACAUGCAAGUCGAGCGGACAGAAGGGAGCUUGCUCCCGGAUGUUAGCGGCGGACGGGUGAGUAACACGUGGGUAACCUGCCUGUAAGACUGGGAUAACUCCGGGAAACCGGAGCUAAUACCGGAUAGUUCCUUGAACCGCAUGGUUCAAGGAUGAAAGACGGUUUCGGCUGUCACUUACAGAUGGACCCGCGGCGCAUUAGCUAGUUGGUGAGGUAACGGCUCACCAAGGCGACGAUGCGUAGCCGACCUGAGAGGGUGAUCGGCCACACUGGGACUGAGACACGGCCCAGACUCCUACGGGAGGCAGCAGUAGGGAAUCUUCCGCAAUGGACGAAAGUCUGACGGAGCAACGCCGCGUGAGUGAUGAAGGUUUUCGGAUCGUAAAGCUCUGUUGUUAGGGAAGAACAAGUGCAAGAGUAACUGCUUGCACCUUGACGGUACCUAACCAGAAAGCCACGGCUAACUACGUGCCAGCAGCCGCGGUAAUACGUAGGUGGCAAGCGUUGUCCGGAAUUAUUGGGCGUAAAGGGCUCGCAGGCGGUUUCUUAAGUCUGAUGUGAAAGCCCCCGGCUCAACCGGGGAGGGUCAUUGGAAACUGGGAAACUUGAGUGCAGAAGAGGAGAGUGGAAUUCCACGUGUAGCGGUGAAAUGCGUAGAGAUGUGGAGGAACACCAGUGGCGAAGGCGACUCUCUGGUCUGUAACUGACGCUGAGGAGCGAAAGCGUGGGGAGCGAACAGGAUUAGAUACCCUGGUAGUCCACGCCGUAAACGAUGAGUGCUAAGUGUUAGGGGGUUUCCGCCCCUUAGUGCUGCA
rnacentral:rRNA from 1 species